AGGCCUCGAUAUUCAUCUUAAUUUUUUUAAGGGAUUCUCCCUAUUCUUACCUGGAUAACCCGAGUACAAGCCAUACUACACACCUCGUGAAUGAGGCAAUGACUAUUUUACAAGCUACCAAUUGCUGGAUGACCGAAGAUGGAACUACAAACUGGAUUAUCAACAAUGUUAGAAUCUCUCAAACUGCAGAUGGACUUGUCAGGGUUGGAAGAAACAGUAAUAAAUUCUCUUUGAGAACCUCGCCGACCAAUGGAUCUGCGUCUGUGUCUUCCCCCUACAUGCACUGCACAGGUUCUAUGGGCCAGACACGCCAUCUUUUCGUGAGACGUGGUGAACGCCGUAUGCAUUAUGAUGGGUCUACAUUCAUAGUUCGUAAUGCUGGCCAUUCUGCUGGUUUCGAUGAGAAACACCAAUUGAAAGUUUACUAAUUAUUUCUUAUGUUGAAUGACUGGUUAGUGUUCGGGUGUUUCCAGUCAUAAUUUCUGUUGUGUUGUUUUUUCGAGUAUUAUGUUACAGUAUCUUUUUCGUCCAAUGAACCCUCCAAAUUCCAAUGAAAUGGUUACAUACAUAUGAUAUUGGGUGCACUAUUGGGUAGGGAUACCUUCACUAGUAAUGGAUUCAAGAUUCUUCGGAAAACUCAUUACUGCAAAAUAUUAUGUUUUUGAACAUACUUGUACUUAUACAAGCAGAAAAGAUGGGUGAUAUUUCGAAAUGAUUCAAUAACAACAUCGCCAAAAAAGGCACAUUUUAAA